rnacentral:snoRNA from 1 species
UGUGGCCAAAUCUCAUCCCUGGCCUGGGUUGAGAUUUGGCGCCCAGAGCCACCAGGGGCCUCAGCUCACCUCCCGCUACCACGGUGUGGGAGUGUGAAACCCAGGCCCCAAUGAGC